rnacentral:pre_miRNA from 1 species
UUUGAUAAGCUGACAUGGGACAGGAUUUCUUUUCACUGUUGUGUCAGUAUAUCAAACUCA